UACGAAGGGAGCUAGCGUUACUCGGAAUUAUUGGGCGUAAAGCGUGCGUAGACGGCUUUGUAAGUCAAGAGUGAAAGCCUGGGGCUCAACCUCAGAAUUGCUUUUGAAACUGCAUGGCUAGAGUGUCAGAGGGGAUGGCGGAAUUCCUAGUGUAGAGGUGAAAUUCGUAGAUAUUAGGAGGAACACCGGUGGCGAAGGCGGCCAUCUGGCUGACAACUGACGUUGUUGCACGAAAGCGUGGGGAGCAAACAGG
rnacentral:rRNA from 1 species